rnacentral:rRNA from 1 species
GACGAACGCUGGCGGCGUGCUUAACACAUGCAAGUCGAGCGGAAAGGCCCUUUCGGGGGUACUCGAGCGGCGAACGGGUGAGUAACACGUGAGUGAUCUGCCCUUGGCUUUGGGAUAACUACCGGAAACGGUGGCUAAUACCGGAUAUGACCAUGCUCGGCAUCGGGUGUGGUGGAAAGUUUUUUCGGCCAGGGAUGUGCUCGCGGCCUAUCAGCUUGUUGGUGGGGUAAUGGCCUACCAAGGCUUCGACGGGUAGCCGGCCUGAGAGGGUGACCGGCCACACUGGGACUGAGACACGGCCCAGACUCCUACGGGAGGCAGCAGUGGGGAAUAUUGGGACAAUGGGCGGAAGCCUGAUCCAGCAACGCCGCGUGAGGGAUGACGGCCUCGGUUGUAACGUACUUCU